rnacentral:rRNA from 1 species
CGGCGUGGAUUAGGCAUGCAAGUCGAACGGUAUAAACCUUCGGGGUUUAGAGAGUGGCGAACGGUGAGUAACACGUAGGUAAUCUACCCUCAAAACGGGGACAACCAGGGAAACUUGGGCUAAUACCGGAUGCGUGCAAACAAUGUUUUGGCUGUUGUAAUUAUUCACGGAAGUGGAUAGUUAUGAGAGUUUCAGAGCAUAAUUUGCAUAAAAGGUGGCGUAAGCUGCCGUUUGAGGAUGAGCCUGCGUCCUAUUAGUUAGUUGGUGAGGUAAUGGCUUACCAAGGCGAUGAUAGGUAGGCGGCCUUAACGGGUGGUCGCCCACACUGGGAUUGAGAUACGGCCCAGACUCCUACGGGAGGCAGCAGUCGAGAAUAGUCUACAAUGGACGAAAGUCUGAUAGUGCGACGCCGCGUGAACGAAGAAUCCUUUCGGGGUGUAAAGUUCUUUUCUAUGUGAGCAGUUCCUUUUAUAUGAAGAGUAUAGAAGGUGGGAUUUAAGCAUAGGAAUAAGCAACGGCUAACUCCGUG